AGAGUUUGAUCAUGGCUCAGAUUGAACGCUGGCGGUAUGCUUAACACAUGCAAGUCGAACGGAAACGAUGGAAGCUUGCUUCCAGGCGUCGAGUGGCGGACGGGUGAGUAACGCGUAGGAAUCUGCCUGAUAGUGGGGGAUAGCCCGGAGAAAUUCGGAUUAAUACCGCAUAAUCUCUACGGAGUAAAGGAGGCCUCUAUUUAUAUGCUUUCGCUAUCAGAUGAGCCUGCGUAAGAUUAGCUAGUUGGUGAGGUAAAGGCUCACCAAGGCGACGAUCUUUAGCUGGUCUGAGAGGAUGAUCAGCCACACUGGGACUGAGACACGGCCCAGACUCCUACGGGAGGCAGCAGUGGGGAAUAUUGGACAAUGGGCGCAAGCCUGAUCCAGCAAUACCGCGUGUGUGAAGAAGGCCUGAGGGUUGUAAAGCACUUUCA
rnacentral:rRNA from 1 species